UGUCGAACAUCUCAUUCUGUGCUGGAAACACUGGGAGGCAGGAAGUUUGAAAAAAAACGGCCACUCCCGCCCGCAAUGUCUCGGUCGUGGGUUCGUUAUGCCAGUUGUUCAAGCCGUUCUGUACAUUUAUACUGGACAUUAACUGGAGUCAUUUAGCUGUGCUGAUGCUGUUUGCCGUGUGUUUUGCAUCAGUGCUUCGUGACAUCGGCUGUAUUGCGUGUUUUCGCCGACGGCUUACUACCACAAUGGCGGGAUCUGCGUUCGCCGCCUUCGUGUCUCGGUGCGUCUUUGUACGUCGCACGUUCGGAUAACACUUUUUCCGACGGCUGGACAUCCUUCUUGUACCUUGGCGCUAGCUGGAUGACGGGACCUCAUCAUGAUCAGUGUAUUGCUUUCCUAUGUCUACAAGAACCGUCACGGGUGGCCUGUGACAGCAAGCUUUUGUGGGCAGCCAGUGCUCUCCUACGAAGGCUGGCCUACUCUGGCAGCGGCGGCAAUCAUCUUCAAGAUUUAUCGAUGAUCACCUUUGCUGCUAUUUGUCACUCUUCUUAAUUACACUUUCUGCAUCUUUUCUAAUCUAUUAGGUAAUAAAGUAUGAGUAUGUGA